rnacentral:rRNA from 1 species
UACGUAGGCAGCAAGCGUUGUUCGGAGUUACUGGGCGUAAAGGGGUGUGUAGGCGGCUCCUUAAGUUUGGUGUGAAAUCUCCCGGCUCAACCGGGAGGGUGCGCCGAAUACUGAGGGGCUAGAGUGCGGGAGAGGAAAGUGGAAUUCCUGGUGUAGCGGUGAAAUGCGUAGAUAUCAGGAGGAACACCGGUGGUGUAGACGGCUUUCUGGACCGUAACUGACGCUGAGACACGAAAGCCGUGGGUAGCAAACAGG